GACACAAACAUUCAAAAUCAUCCAUCUAUGAUAUUCGGAUUAUCUAAUGACCAUACGACAGAGGGGUUCAAUCCCUGCUUAACCAUCACAGGUUAUUCAUGCAAGUUCUCAAGCACAUAAUGCAAAGGUGGUUAGAGCAAUAACACAAAGUUAUUUCAAUUCUAAUUUGGUUCCAUGAGAACAACCAGACAACAACAAUAAUCCCAGUACCACAGUAUUACCACAACCAAAUACUCAUCCGUUCCUACAUAUAAGUCUUUUUAGACAUUUCAAAUGGACUACAACAUACGUAUGCAUGUAGACAUAUUUUAGAGUGCAGAUUCACUCAUUUUGCUCCGUAUGUAGUCACUUGUUGAAUCUCUAGAAAGACUUAUAUUUGGGAACGGAUGGAGUAAGACAAGUUCAUAAUUUCUCGAAUUAAUUAUUUAAGGGCUCCUCAAGCUCCUGGCCCAAAUCUUGACCUGGCACCUGAACAAACGUAGGGAGAUAUAGAUGUGAUAAAUUAUUUUGGAAAAUGAAGACACUUCUUUCAAGUGUUUGAAAAAAAACAAUGAACAACUACUGCUAGAACAGAGAAAUAAAUUCCGUUUAGUUGUCUGCUUGUUGCAGAUAUUUUCACCAUAACAAAAUCCCUAAAAUAACAUAAAUAUUUAAUAUAUAUUUGAAAAUUUGAUCUGGCAAAGCUUGAGUCUCCAUGGCCAUGGAGGCUUUAAAACAGAUCAAAAUUUGAGCCUGUAUAUGGUUUUCUCAGGAAGUAAAAAAUGUAGUAGGAGCAAAAGAUUGAUGGGUAACUAAUUGCAUCCUCUCUCCCAAAAUCAUAUCAGCAAUGAAGACGAAGCUUCAGUGCCUUAACGUCACCUGGAUUUGGAUAUGUGACAUGUGGGCCAGCCACCUAUUUCUCAUGAUUACAGUAGAAAUUGGUCAUAGUUGUUGUUGACGAUGCUUAACCAGGUAAUAUUGAUGAUCUAAGCAGCUCAACCACACAAAUGACUUUUAUGCCCUACACUUUUCUUACAGAAUUUAGCGAUGGUCUAGUGCAGGACUCUAGAUAACAAAUGUUUAUGGUGGAGAAAGAACCGUCUUCACCCAAGCAAAAACCAAACCGUCAGACAUGUUCACUAUAUAUAAAAUCUUGAUUUGCACAGACAGAAGACAUGCAUGUAAAUACAGGAAAUAUAGCUCUUAUUAAAACCAGAUUAACUAAUAUAACCAAGCAAUGCACAGAACACCUAAAACUGAAGGAAAACUUGGUAUACAACCUACACAGGGGUAGGUCAGAAAGAGAUUAGAUUAUUUUUCCUCCUAAUGCCUAGUGGUUAACUAGAUUUUUCUUACUAAUGCCUGUGGUUAAGUAGAUAGUAGGUAACCCCUGGUCCAAUAACUGCUAUUUAAAAAUAGCAGAAAGACAAGGCAAUAAGAAAACAAUCAUACCAUCUCUUUUAUGUCUUCAUCAUCAUCAUCAGGAAGUGGAGGAAACACCACCUCAGCAAACUCACUCUCUGAAAAAUCUGCAUGCGGGCCCAGUUGAGACACUUGCGAACACCCAGAGUUGUUCAUUUUGUAAACCCACUGUGCAGUAGCCUCAAAUGACUUGAACCGGCGGACCAUCUCUUCACGGUCACGGGAUACCCCCCAAU
rnacentral:lncRNA from 1 species